AUGUUACUCAACAUCACUAGUGAAUUAUGAGAUCUCACUAGUAUCAUUCUGGAUCGAUAAUCCUUAUUGGGUGUGAGUUAGAAUUGUUCUAGCCCAUCGAAAGAUAUUUCGAUGAUACUAUAUUAGAAAUCAUAGUAUAUCUCACUAUCAGAUAGAACAAAAUCUAUGGGGUUAUACUACAAAAAAAAUUUUGGACUGAUCAAAUAGUUAAGUUAUGAUUAUGAAUCAUAACAGGAUUUAAUUACCAAUAUGAUUGAUAAUACACAAGUUGAAAUUAACUAAUUCGCUAAAUAUUAUUGAAUUAUAGAAGGUUCAAUUAGCAAUUGGAUUAUUGUCUAGCUUAAUCUGAUUGAGCUAUGGGGUUCAAAUCAGAUUUAAUUGUAUUAGAUUUAGUUUAGUUUGAUUUUAAUUUGAUUAGAUCAAGUCUAACUGGAUUAUGAGAUAACCCAAUUGCAUGAGG
rnacentral:lncRNA from 1 species